UUCAUGAAUAUGAAACUAAGUUAUAUGAGUUAUACACUCACUUAUAUAAUUUUUAUAGUUAAUAGAUCUUCCCCUUACUAAGUGAAAGGAGUAUUUGUUUCUCCAUGGGGUGGGAACUCUUUGUACCAUACUGGUACUUUAAUAGAUGGUCUAAUUGAUAUCAACCCAAUUAAUUUACCAGGUCUACCACGUGUUCUAAAUUGGUUAGACAUUAUACCCAUUUGAAUUGCCUUCACUCCUGAGUCUCUGAGUGUCAGGUUCAAGCUGCUGACCGACGAGGUUCCUUAUGCUUGCGAACCAGUUAGAUUCUAUACACAUAUGAAUCUUCCCCAUAUUCGAAUAUCUGAAUGUCAGACUCAAGCUGAUGAUAUAUGAGGUAUGGUCCUCGCUGUAUCAAUCAAGUCCCAUUGAAAUAUUGAAACGUUGUUCAUACAUCUUUGAAUGACCUUUUAUGUGCUGACAAUAUGUUCUGAAAUGAAGAGAUUUUACCCCUGAUGAAGUCUUGGAACAAGACGAAACGCGUUGGUUUAUUUAUCUAUCUAUUAUCUGAUGUUACCUCCGAAUCUACAAUAAGGAGAAGGAGGAAAUCGUAGUGAUAUAUCUACGCUUUUUCCUCAUCACUACAAACUGAUUGUUCAAAUUGUGCGACAAAUGUAAAUGUAUCAACUCUGUAUACUUAUGAACAUUUGUGUCGGGUUUAUAUGUUGUUUUAAUAAAUUUUUAUGUUAGUA